GUAGGCAGCGAGCGUUGUUCGGAAUUACUGGGCGUAAAGAGUGUGUAGGCGGUGCUCUAAGUCUGUUGUGAAAUCUCCCGGCUCAACUGGGAGGGUGCGGCGGAAACUGGAGUGCUCGAGUGUGGGAGAGGUAAGCGGAAUUCCUGGUGUAGCGGUGAAAUGCGUAGAUAUCAGGAGGAACACCUGUGGUGUAGACAGCUUACUGGACCACGACUGACGCUGAGACACGAAAGCGUGGGUAGCAAACAGGAUUAGAUACCCUGGUAGUCCACGCCCUAAACGAUGCAUACUUGGUGUGAGCCAUUCAUUUGGUUCGUGCCGGAGCUAACGCGUUAAGUAUGCCGCCUGGGGAGUACGGUCGCAAGGCUG
rnacentral:rRNA from 1 species